CGCCUGUUUAUUAAAAACAUGUCUUAUUGAAUAUAAUUUUAAGUCUGACCUGCUCAAUGAAUAAUUAAAUGGCUGCAGUAAAUUAACUGUACAAAGGUAGCAUAAUCAUUUGUUUUUUAAUUGGAAGCUAGAAUGAAAGGUUUGAUGAAAAAAUUUCUGUCUCUAUGAAAAUUUAUUAGAAUUUUAUUUUUAAGUGAAAAAGCUUAAAUUUGUAUUGAAGACGAGAAGACCCUAUAGAGUUUGAUAUUUGAAGAAUAAUUUUUAUUGUAGGAAAUUUAUGUAAAUUAUUUAUAUUAAAAUAUUUUGUUGGGGUGAUAAAAAAAUUUGUUUAACUUUUUUUAAUAUGAUAUCAUUAAUUUGUGAAUAGAUGAUCCUAGUUUUGUUUAGAUUAGAAGAAAAAAUUACCUUAGGGAUAACAGCGUUAUUUUUUUCAGAGUUCUUAUCGAAGAAAAAGAUUGCGACCUCGAUGUUGGAUUAAAAUUUAUUGCUGGUGCAGAAGCUAGUUAAUUAGGUCUGUUCGACUUUUAAAAUUUUACAUGAUCUGAGUUUAGACCGGUGUGAGCCAGGUCGGUUUCUAUCU
rnacentral:rRNA from 1 species